rnacentral:rRNA from 1 species
GACGAACGCUGGCGGCGUGCUUAACACAUGCCAGUCGAACGGAAAGGCCCUGCUUUUGUGGGGUGCUCGAGUGGCGAACGGGUGAGUAACACGUGAGUAACCUGCCCUUGACUUUGGGAUAACUUCAGGAAACUGGGGCUAAUACCGGAUAGGAGCUCCUGCUGCAUGGUGGGGGUUGGAAAGUUUCGGCGGUUGGGGAUGGACUCGAGGCUUAUCAGCUUGUUGGUGGGGUAGUGGCUUACCAAGGCUUUGACGGGUAGCCGGCCUGAGAGGGUGGCCGGCCACAUUGGGACUGAGAUACGGCGCAGACUCCUACGGGAGGCAGCAGUGGGGAAUAUUGCACAAUGGGCGGAAGCCUGAUGCAGCAACGCCGCGUGCGUGAUGACGGCCUUCGGGUUGUAAACCGCUUUCGCCUGUGACGAAGCGUGAGUGACGGUAAUGUGUAAAGAAGCACCGGCUAACUACGUG